GACGAACGCUGGCGGCGUGCUUAACACAUGCAAGUCGAACGAUGAAGCUGGAGCUUGCUCCGGUGGAUUAGUGGCGAACGGGUGAGUAACACGUGAGUAAUCUGCCCUUGACUCUGGGAUAACUGCGGGAAACUGUAGCUAAUACCGGAUACGACACCUUCGGGCAUCCGAUGGGUGUGGAAAGAAUUUCGGUCAAGGAUGAACUCGCGGCCUAUCAGCUAGUUGGUGAGGUAAUGGCUCACCAAGGCGACGACGGGUAGCCGGCCUGAGAGGGUGACCGGCCACACUGGGACUGAGACACGGCCCAGACUCCUACGGGAGGCAGCAGUGGGGAAUAUUGCACAAUGGGCGAAAGCCUGAUGCAGCAACGCCGCGUGAGGGAUGAAGGCCUUCGGGUUGUAAACCUCUUUUAGUUGGGAAGAAGCGAAAGUGACGGUACCAACAGAAAAAGCACUGGCUAACUACGUGCCAGCCGCCGCGGUAA
rnacentral:rRNA from 1 species